GUAGCGGGGAUUCAAGGAACAAGCUGGUGAGCCCACAGUGAGAAGCCCUGCAGUGGGAGGACAGAGAGCUGGAUUUUGGCCCGAUGCACCCCUCACUAUGGUAUCGAAGUACCAAGUACAUCAUACAUACGUACAUCAUAUGUACAUAGCACUCUUCAUGCAUAGACCUCCAAGCACUUUACAAAGCAGUCACUCAGCCACUCUGCACUUCUCCUGCUUGUACUUCUGUGUUUCCUCUGCCCUGGAGCCAGGAGUGUCGCAAACCAAACAGGAAGUGUCCCCACCGCUAGUUGCUGAAACAGCCCUGCUGAGAUGGGGAAGUAGAGCAGAUGCUGGCUAAGCAAUCCCCAUGGGUGACACAGCCAUGGAUGGCAUCAGGGUGGCACAGUGUGAUGCAAUUGUGGUCUCCGCCCAGAAGAAUCCUCACUGCUGUAUUGGAAAGAGCUGCUCCACGUCUGCAGCUCACCUGACAAUUCGUGACUAUGCAACCAUCCUUUCCCAACAACUAGCAUCCAAAGCCAUUCAGACACUCCCAGAAAGUCUUUAAAUCAUGAGAGAAACGUGAUCAGUGGGAUCUUCUUGGAGGCACAGCACAGCACUGGAGGGGAACAGAGCAUACCAGUGGCAGGACGUAUUGCAGGGAAGUGUGCCAACAUUGGGUUGUAGUUACUGGGGGAGAGGACACAUGCUGGGAUACCCUACUGAGUGAUCUUGUUCUAGAUCUGAAGAUGGGCAGAGGGGUGUACACACAGCUGGUAAGUUGGUUACAUUGUAUGAUACAGAGGGUGGAAUUGUUUGGUUUAUUGAUGGGGUGCUAGUGAAGCUCCCUUUCCUUCUUUCCAUUGUGAAAGGCUUCUGGAAGGAUCUUUGUGGAGAUGCAUGGAGGGGCUGCUGCCCAGGCCCUUGGGAAUAUGCCUGAAUUCUGGAGGAAGGGAAAUCAGGCAACAAAUUCUACUCCGACAAUUGAAUUGUGCCCAGGCCUGCAGACAUUUCAGCCGUGGGUCUCAGAAAAUGAAGAGCACAUCAGACAUGCCCUAGAAUUCCCCUCAAAGCAGCGUUUUCAUUUCUGAAGUGCCAACUCAGUUUUUAAAAGCUCCUAUUAAUUUUAAUUCCUUAGGUUUCGGACUUUUCAUAAGAGCAGAGAAUGAUAAACCCACUCUCUUGGGUUAUCAGGUUAAUAAUAUUUUAUGUAGCUAAAUACCCCCUGCAAUUUCAGUUGAAAAGAGUAUUCUCUAAUUCCUGUAACUAAAAUGUUGCUUUGCAUUGUUAACAGCUGCUGUCUUUCACCUCAGAGGUGGCUGCAUUUCAGUGGUGCGCAAAGUGAUCAUUGUAUACAUUGUGUCUUAAUAAAUCCUUGACCCUCAUUUAGCGGUGAGAAAAUGUUGUUGAAGUUAAACAUCACUAUAGAAUUUUUGAAAGAAAAUAAACCUUAUUUCCUCUGUUGGAUUCUAGCAGAUUCUCUCUUCUCUGAAUCAACUGGUUCUCUUAUUUGUUUCAGGACACCAGGAAUAUAUAUUUUUUAAUUUGAGAUUAUUUCCCCCUCUUCUAAUGACUGGAACUUCUGUGUCCUAGAUAGAUGAAAUGUGCAAUAUACAAAUAAUAGUCACAACUCUACCCAUUUACUGUUUAUCCCAUACUCACGUACAUCUAUACGCAUCUUCUUUUACUUAACACAUCACAUGCAGAAGACACAUAGAUAUUUAUAGCAAUCAAUCCAUGGCAUCGAGAUGUAGCUGUCCUUGCUGCCUUGGAAUAUCUAGUGCCACCUGAAGGUAGCUGACACAUUCUAGCAUCAGUUGAUUUCAAAGAUGUGUGUACAGUGCCUAGCUCAGUUCAUAGAUUCCAAGGCUAGGAAGACCAGUGUGAUCAUCUAGUCCAGUGGUUCUCAAAGUUUUGUACUGGUGAUCCCUUUCAUAUAGCAAGCCUCUGAGUGCGAUCCACCUUACAAAUUAAAAACACUUUUAAAAUAUAUUUAACACUAUUAUAAAUGCUGGAGGCAAAGCAGGGUUUGGGGUGGAGGUUGACAGCUCACAACCCCCAGCGUAAUAACCUCACGACCCCCAGUUUGAGAACCCCUGAUCUAGUCUGACCUCCUGUAUAGCAUAGGUCAUAGAACGUACCCAAAAUUAUUCCUAGAGCAGAUCUUUUAGAAAAAUAUCCAAUCUCAAUUUUAAAAUUGUGAGUGACAGAGAAUUCACCACGACCCUUAGUAAAUUGUUCCAAUGGUUAAUUACUCUCACUGUUAAAAAUGUACACCUUAUUUACAGUCUGAAUAUGUCUAGCUUCAACUUCCACACACUGAAUCAUGUUAUACCCUUCUCGGUUAGACUGAAGAGCCCAUUACUAAAUAUUUGCUCCCCAUGUAGAUACUCAGAUUGUAAUCAAGUCACCUCUUAAUCUUUUCUUUGUUAAUCUAAAUAGAUUCAGCUCUUUGAGUCUAUCACUAUAAAGUGUGUUUUCUAAUCCUUUAAUCAUUCUUGUGGCUCUUUUUUGAACCCUCUCUAAUUCAUUAACAUCCUUCUUGAAUUGUGGGCUCCAGAACUGAACACAGCAUUCCAGAAGUUGUCAUACCAGUGCAAAAUACAGAAGUAAAAUAACCUUUCUGCUUCUACUCAAGAUUCCGGUUUAGGCAUUCCAGGAUGCAUUCGCUCUUUUGGCCACAGCAUCACACUCGGAACUCAUGUUCGGCUGAUUAUCUACAAGGAUCCCCCCCAAAUCUUUUUCAGAGUCACUGCCUGCUAGAUCAUAAUCAGGUCUUUGAAUUUAGGAUGGAAGAAAGUGAGCCACCACUAACAUUGGCUAGAAGGAGGAAGGAAUGGCAGAAUCAGGUAUGAUGGACCUUACUUUCAGAGGCAAAGGGGGAUAGUGAAGAAAAGGCAUCUAAAGAGAUGGGAACUAGCUGGAGGAGUAUAAGUAUGAACAGGGGACAGCAGGAAUAGAAAGCGAGGUGGAGGACAUAUUAAGAGAGAUGAGUCUGCCAACUAACCUUGUAUAGAUGAGAUUAGAAUUAUCCACUUUGGGAAGAGUGAGCGUUACCUUAAGGGACGGGGCUUGAUUCAUAUUUUCCCUGCUGAAAAGGUGACAACCCUAAAAGCCUAUGAAUGCCUACGCAGGUUUCCCUAUUUGCUGGAGUAGUUCUGCCUUUUGUAAAAGGUGGACAUGUUGCAGGAGUACAGGGAGAUCCCAUUGAAAAAUCUGUGUAUAAGGCAAUGUGAAAGGCCUUGGCUCCUUUACAGGCUAAGUAGUGCACGGUAGUAGAUAGUCAUUGUAAGUAAAACUGAACAUUAUAGGAAGUAGACAAACUAUACAAUUAUUUCUCUGUUAAUAGAGCUCGUUUGGGGCCAUUCACAGAGCAACGCGCUAUGAAUUAUCCUAGCCUGAUGCCACAUUAAAACCAGUCAUUUAUUACCCUGGCCCUCUUAUUACUCAGUACAGCUGGAAUUUUGAAGUCAUCUUCUGCAUGUCAGGACUAGUGUGACCUUGUCAUGCUUUAUAUCUUCUUUCUCUCUCAACCACUCAAAUGCAGGCUGAGUAAUUUCAGUACUGGGUUUUUCCUCUUUAUUAACACCAUGACCUAGGAAGAGCAGUGUUCUUUCAGUAAUAAGCUUCCUUAUGCAGCUCCUCACAUAGACCUUAAAGACAGCUAUAACUGGAUAUGAUUUAUAGAUUUCUAUGAAUUAAAUGUACUGCAGUCAUGCCUAAAUAACGUAUCUCAUAUCAUUAAAAUGAGCAAGAGACUGACAGUACAUGAACUAGUGGAAAUGGGAAUAAUGUCUAUUGUCCAGACCUGGUUGACUGAAAGCCAGAUAAAAUAUGUAGUACAUCAUGCUGGUAGGAUGUUUGUUUUUGUGUAUGUUAAAUAGGGCAGAGAACUGAUCCCCACAAGUUGUAAGAGGAUUUAGUUAACACCUUUUCUUUGUGAGACACACUGAACUGGGAAAAGGAAACAGACUUUAGGCUGCGAGAGAGAAACCUGAUUUUCCCAUAUUUUAUCUUAACACUGUGCAACAUGAACUUGGCCCGGAUUACCAAAAUUUUCUGUUGUGUUUGACUAGCCAAAGUAUUUUGUCCCUAGCCCUCUUGUUUCUGUUUUUUCUUUCUGUAAUUUGUCAGUACAUCUUGGUUUUGUUUAAGACUACCUGAAUUAGGUGGGGGAUACUAGCAGUGGGGCAAAUCACUGCUGGGUGCCUCAGACUGACUUCAGAAAAGGCAGCAUAAAUAGGUAACUGCUUGAGUGCAGGUUGUGAUCCCCCACUCCCCAACCAGAGCAAUGGAGCUGGUAUGGAGGGAGCGAAGUUACAUGAAGAGCUGUAAUUAGUUACUGCAGAGACCACUGUUGAGCAAACACUGACAAUGCUAACAAAUUGGACUUAUUCACUCAAUGCAAAUAAUAUAGCUUAGAAAGCUUUUUUCCUAGUGGAACAAAUGUCACUAUUCCUCAUCCUUACGUGUACAUUCAUGACUUCUCCCCGCAAACUCCAAUUCACAACUAAAUGUAAACUUAGUACUGGUAAGAAAACUAUAGAUGCUAGAUGCAAGUUUCAAAAGUGACUCGUAACUUUGGUUGCCUCACUUAAGGCAUCUUUGAGCCUUGACUGUCAAAGUGCCUGCCUUUGAAAAAUUAGGCCCCUUUAAAAUGGUCAAGUUGGGCACCAAAAAAAUGGAUGCACCCAAAAUCAUUACUCACUGAAAUGGCCUAAGUCCUAUUCAGAGAGCAACUAGUCUAUGCAUAAGCACUUCAAAGUGACCGCGCAAUUCACUGCUCAGUGAUGGAGUAUUUCUUUGGGAAUUAGGCCAGGAUGAAAAUAUUCAAAUGAAUUCACUUAGACAUGAAGUAGCCACAAAGUUUUCAGCACUUAAAAAAGAUGUAAGAAAAAAAAAAAAAGCAGGAACUAACAAGAAUGAGACUUCAGGAGCUACUGUUUUUUUCCUUUCCUACCUAAUCAUUUUUCAUAAGGAAAGUAGGGUGGGGGAAUGAGUUUAAAAAGCUCUUCAUUGUUCUUACUGAUAUGUCCGUGUGCAAAAAAAGGACCCAAUGAAGUUGGAAAAGCCAGCUACAUUUUUGAAUAGUGUUGGUGUCCACGUAUCUUGAUUUAGGUAGAGCAUUCAAGACUGCUACAAUAUGAUCCAGGCCUAUGAUUACUUACACGUGCAAAGUGCUGCUGCGGAAACAACCUUGGCAGGAAAAAGAUUGGAGGUGAAGAGCAGAAGUCAGAUGGACAGUACUGCUGUGGAACAGAAGUGAUCUUAAAGGAGUCUGCUCCCAAAUUUCAGAAGUAUCCCUACUCAGCACUGUCUGAUACCUUAGCUUUACUCCUUCUCUUCCCCCAUUGACUACUGUAUUAUAACUACUGCUUUAAUUCUGUGUACACAAUGUUUUACAAAAUCCUUGGAAAAUAUCUUUAAGGCCCGGUCAGCAUUACCAGCAUGAAAUAGUUCCUGGUAAUAUGAUUGCUUAAUCUACAGAGGCCAACCCAAACAUUUGAAGCCACAGUUAAAAGCAGCUGAACUGUCACAUCCAUGCUGAAAUAUAACUACUAGCACCAAACGUUUCAGGUAACUGUUUUUGAGAACUGACCUUGAUGCCAUUUCAGGAUCAAGAAUUUGUGUAGCAUGGCUAGGUCCUAUCAUCACCCGUUCUGUAAGCAUCAACCUCUUCUCCCCCUCCCCCAAAAAGUAAUUUUCUUCCUCUGUUCACUCAACCACUUGAGAGGCAGCAAUAUAAGAAACCUUAACUGUUAGAAUGGAUUCCUCCUGUGUAUAAACCCACUGAACAAGUACUGUCUGCAGUUGCUUCCCAAAGGAAUUAUAGCCAUUAUCUUUCCCAAUAAGCAGACACAUCCUGCAUUUAGAACAUCAGAACAAUGCAUCAGAACAUUUGAUUUAGUGAGCCCUCUCAGAUAUGUAGUAGCAACAGUGAUUUGGUGGGAGGCUCUUAUUCUAAAAUAAGAAUGACGCCAAGAACAAGCUCGCGAGACAGAGCUGCCAGGUCUGCAGGUUUUCACAAGGCUUUGGGACACCAGUCAUAUUUUAAGUCUUUUUUCCAAGUGGAAAAACACUUUGUACAAUGGCACUAUUUUGUACAGCAGAUCUGCCCCAUGUGUACUGUGUCGUGUAUUUCACUGUCAGAAGUUUUAAUACUUUACUACAGUUAGCCCUGCAGAAGCAACUUAACUGUGGGAGAGCAACUUAGAUUUAUUUGCCCCCUACAUCAGAAUUAAGUUACAGUAGCCCCUAUGCAACCCUAAUGUCUUUGUAUUUAUAUAUAUAUAUAUAUAUAUAUAUAUUUUCAAUGAUACCAGUGCAAUUCUAGUGAAGGAAACAUUGUCACAGAUGUAAAAAACGGCAAAAUUACCAGCAGAAUUUCUUACUUGAUGAUGCCCUUGCUACCAAGAUCGUUAGGUGAUUCUCAGAAUCCCAAGUAAAUUUGUAGGGCUGGCAGUUGGGGGAGGCAAUCUUUACUGGGAAAUUUGGUCUAGUGUCACAAACAAACAUGGAAUCCCACAGAUAUAUUCUUACAGAGUGAAUGCUUAGAGCAGAACUCCACUUUAAAUAGAGCUGUGUGGGUGGCUACAGUAUGGUAGAUUCCUAUAGUUUAUCUGUGCAUCGUUCAGUCUUUGGGCAUCCAUAACACUCAAAACUAGUUUUUGGGAGCCUUGUCCAACAGGCAAGUAUGUGUGCACAGUAUAGUCAAAGCUCUAUCCUGGGAGUGCUUAUAUUUUCUAAGUUCUUAUUGUUAGCUAGAAUUAUGGACUCAACACAGUAGCCAAUCAGUGCCUACUGUUUUGGGGCCUUUUUCAUAGGCCUACUUUGGCAGAGUAUAGUUUGGCAACAGGGAAGAGCUUAAUAAGUCUUGAGAGGGGAAGUGAGAAAUCUAUAGAGGACAAAGAAUUAGGAAAAUUCACAGCAUGGCAUAUAAAUGUGAGAGUUAUUGAUUACUUCACCUUUACUGCUUGGUUCUUGGUGUUGGUUGGAGGAUUCUUCAGGGCUGCCUGCAAUGCAGCCAUCAUGUUCCCUGUGAACAAUGGUUAAGGAAGGAUGGGGAAACAAGGACUUGGAAAGCAGUAGAGCUAGUCACAGUACAGUGGGGUUCACAUGGAACUUGUUCAUUACUCGGAAUAUCAGCUAUGGAGUUGCUGAGAGAACAUCUUCCAUAUUGAAUACUUCAGUGAGUGCAACGUAAGGUAACAAAUACUAGCCAAUUACUAAAAGCAAUGGGACAGUACUAAGGUGGUACAGUUUUCAGUACUGGAGGGCACCAAUCACAGAACAAGGAUCCAAAUAAUAGAAACAUUUAGACAUUCCACCCAUUCUAUCUUCAAACACCACACAUAAUGGCAAAAUAUCAUGCAACAAGCUAUAGCACGGCUGUUUGCAAAAUACAGAACAAUGUGAUUGCUGAAAUAAACUGUUAGUGGGAACAUCUGUGGCCCAUAAAUUGGAAAAAUAUCAUCAGUCAGGACCUCAAACUAAACAUUGAAAGGAAAGGUCAAUCUGUCAGUAAAUUCAUCACACUGUAGUUGAUUAUGAUUCAGGAGAGUUUUCUAUUCAGAUUCUUAUACUGCAUCCACCACUGUGGUAUCUAAAAACCUCCCAGUAGUGCAUUAAGUGACAUGACUAAUAUGCACCACAGAUGGAGUUCAUUAUAGAACAACAAGAUUCCAAGACUGCCUUCAUCACUGUCAUGAACCAGAAGGAGCACAAAACAUGCUCUAGAGACACAGGUAAUUCAGGCUUCCUGCUGACUGUACAGAAAAGGAAGCUAAGCAGCUCCCACUUGAAUUUUCUUAAAAGGUUUCACAGUUUUGAGCAUAGAAAUUUGCCUUUCAGGUUUUUUUCCCCCCACCUCCAGGAAUUGCCAAAACUGAAUCACAAAACCCAUUACUCCUUUUCUCCUUACAGUGUGCACGAUAAACACCCAUUUUUUCAUGAUCUGUGUGUAUAUAAAUCUCCUCACUGUAUUUUUCACUGAAUGCAUCUGUUGAAGUGAGCUGUAGCUCA